UACGUAGGGUCCGAGCGUUGUCCGGAGUGACUGGGCGUAAAGCGCGCGCAGGCGGCCCGCGAGGUGUCCUGUGAAAGCCCCGUGCUCAACGCGGGAGGGUCAGGGCAAACCGGCGGGCUUGAGGCCGGUAGAGGUGGGUGGAACUCCUGGUGGAGUGGUGAAAUGCGUAGAGAUCAGGAAGAACACCCGUGGCGAAGGCGGCCCACUGGGCCGGACCUGACGCUGAGGCGCGAAGGCGUGGGGAGCGAACGGG
rnacentral:rRNA from 1 species